GGAGAGGUGGCCGAGUGGCCGAAGGCGCUCCCCUGCUAAGGGAGUACAUCUCAAAGGGUGUCGGGGGUUCGAAUCCCCCCCUCUCCGCCA
rnacentral:tRNA from 1 species